UUGUCUGACUGACACCCAAGAUUGCCUUGUAAAUUCCCUCUGAAUAAAUAUUUGACUACUUACCAACCUUGAAGGGUCUGCCUCUUUCUUUGGCCUGAGCUUAUGAAGAGCAGUUCUUGGUUCUGACAAAGUGUUUUCCCAAUACAAAGGGUUUAGACCCUCUAAGGAUGCAUAACUAGCCAAGGCAGAAAACCAGUCUCUUUGCCACAUAAGAUUUUAAUUCCAACAUUACUCCACAAUUAAUUGAUAAUAUACUAUAUCAUCUUUAUUUUUACUAUUGUUAGUUAAAAAUGUGGGUUUUUUGUUUGUUUGUUUCUUUCAAGUCAAGAAUCUACUAUAGCUGUUUAUGGUCUAUCAUAUUAGAUCUAAAUUCCAGUUGUUAUUUAAAUUUUUCAAUCUAGUAUCACCUAAUAUGAAUUAUCUCUCCAAUUAAUUUGGUUUCAGGUUAUUUUUCACUGAAGCCAGGGAGUACAAAUUAGGUCUGAAACCUGUAAGUUUUAAAACAGGGUCUGCCUUGGGAAAUCUAGGGCAUCAGGUUCUUAGAUGAUAGGACAAUGCAAGCCAGGCAGUAGUGUCUUAGCUAAGCACCCUCUGAGCCAGUGAGCAGUUGGCUCUAUUUAAAUCAGUUAAAAAUAGACUAACCAGCAGUUAAAAUUUUCAGCACAGCAAAAAGCAGUGAGGACAAGGUUUAUUCUUUGAUCUCUAAAGGUUUGCUUCAUUGAGCCUGAUAAUGGUGCAUGACGUGAAGAAUGUUAGCUAUACUGUGGUCUCACAUUACCUUGGUUUUACUUAGUCAUCAGUGUAAUUUAUCUAAGGGCAACUUGCCGCUAAAAAAAGAGCUCAGCUUGAAGGCUUCUAGCUUACACAGCAGGAGUUUCUGGAAAUUUUACUGCUGGUGGUGGUGGAUAGAAGGCAGAGAUAUGGCCAGUAUCAAACGAGAUUAUGUCCUGGGAAUUCAGAGAUUACAGUCUGAAGAAUUCAAGACCACUGGCAGUGAAGUUGAGGAACCAGGGUUGAAAGAUGAAAGAGGAAUCAGCUGUGCCAGAUGGAAUCUUUCAGCACAGAUGUCCUUGGAAUAA
rnacentral:lncRNA from 1 species